AUCCUACGGGAGGCAGCAUGGGGGAAUAUUGCACAAUGGGGGAAACCCUGAUGCAGCCAUGCCGCGUGUGUGAAGAAGGCCUUCGGGUUGUAAAGCACUUUCAGUAGGGAGGAAGGUAGUGUAGUUAACACCUGCAUUAUUUGACGUUACCUACAGAAGAAGCACCGGCUAACUCCGUGCCAGCAGCCGCGGUAAUACGGAGGGUGCGAGCGUUAAUCGGAAUUACUGGGCGUAAAGCGCAUGCAGGCGGCCUGUUAAGUCAGAUGUGAAAGCCCGGGGCUUAACCUCGGAAUUGCAUUUGAAACUGGCAGGCUAGAGUCUUGUAGAGGGGGUAGAAUUUCAGGUGUAGCGGUGAAAUGCGUAGAGAUCUGAAGGAAUACCAGUGGCGAAGGCGGCCCCAUGGACAAAGACUGACGCUCAGAUGCGAAAGCGUGGGGAGCAAACAGGAUUAGAUACCCUGGUAG
rnacentral:rRNA from 1 species